rnacentral:lncRNA from 1 species
AUGCCCUCGGUCCAUGUGGCUACUUCGGAGCAAGUGGGAGAGGGCGGCGGGAGGCACUGCGGGGGCAGGCGCGGCGGGCAGCUCAGGGGCAGCGGCGGGGUCCUGGCGAGGGGAGGACGGGGUUGCGGCGGGGGGAACGGUGUCUCCUUCACUUCGCCCUCCAGCCCCGGCAGCUGUAUCCUUUUCUUCAGAUCACCCCUUCCCACGGCCUCGCUAUGGCGACCUACGGGCAGAGCUGCGCGCGGCGUAAGUAGAGCAGGGAUUUGUGCUGAAUGGGGUUGGGUGACCGGCGAGAUGGAAUCUGUAGACCAGAAAACCGCAGCUUCUCCCAUCCCAUCUCUCCAAAGACUUGGAAAUUCGGUCCCUUCCGGUAGCCACUCUACAGCGUGAUCACCCGGGCUCUGCGGAGGAGGGACUGCUGGAUUCUCGAGUGGAGGGUCUAGGCCGCGGGAAUUGGUCUCUGGUCCUAUUCACCUCCAGCUAUUGGAUGUGUCUUUGGCCAGCAAAAAAAAGCAGAGAGUCAUUAAUUGUGGGAUUCCACCUUUCAAGGAUUGGAUUGCUCACCGUUUAGAGGAAGUAGUCUUCUUGAGUGUGCAAGGUCAUUCAUUACAUGUGCUCCUGAGGGCGUGGACAU